rnacentral:rRNA from 1 species
UACGGAGGGUGCAAGCGUUGUCCGGAUUUAUUGGGUUUAAAGGGUGCGCAGGCGGCUUAUUAAGUCAGCGGUGAAAGACCAGGGCUCAACCCUGGAACUGCCAUUGAUACUGAUAAGCUUGAGUAAAGUUGAGGUAGGCGGAAUUGACGGUGUAGCGGUGAAAUGCUUAGAUAUCGUCAAGAACACCGAUUGCGAAGGCAGCUUACUAAGCUUUAACUGACACUGAGGCACGAAAGCGUGGGGAUCAAACAGG